CGGCUCGUCGCAUCCUGGGGGUGGAGAAGCUCCCAAGGGUUGGGCUGUUCGCCCAUUAAAGCGGCACGCGAGCUGGGUUCAGACCGUCGUAAGACAGGUCGGUCUCCUAUCUACUAUGGUCGUGGAAACUUGAGAAGGACACUCUUUAGUAGACCCUAAUGGGUUAUGCUACUUGCGGGAGUAAUCCCGCAUGACAAUACGGCUAAUAACGGUGGAAGCUUUAAGAUAUUUAUGAUACAAUAUAUGUGAGGACCAUAAAUAUUAAGUCAAUACCGUGGGAAGUCAAUCAAACAUUACCAAGAAGACAUCAGAACUCGCCUAUAUCGCCGGCUUUUUAGACGGCGACGGCAGUUUGAUGUUGCAGAUAAAAAAACGAAGCGAUUCCAAGCGGGGCUGGCGUUUUAUGGCGACAAUCUGCCUGUAUCAGGACAGCCGCCAUGAUAAGCCGCUUUAUUGGAUGAAAAAUCGUUUAGGCAUCGGUUAUAUAUCAAAAAGAAACGACAACAUUACGGAACUGCGGAUUAACGGAUACAAGCAAUGCAAUAAGAUAUUGCGUAAAUUAUAUCCGUUUAUAAAGUUUAAGCGGCCGCAGAUUAAAUCAUUACUUAAGGCGAUUGAUAUAUUAAUUAGAAAGCCGAUAAAUAAGCUGACUCGCAGCGACCGGAGCAAAUUAUUAUCUUGUAUAAUGAACAUACAAAAUUUUAAUUAUCAGUCUCCGCGAAAAAGAUCCAUGGAGCAGCUUAGAAAAAUGUUUGAUUUGACCCCGUAACGACUGAUUUAUUCCCGAAUUUUCGGGAGAAUGAGAUAGAAGGUACCUGAUAAUCAGGAUUUAAACUUCUAUCAUAUGCCGUCGCCCUACUCCGUGUUAGUUAAUAAUAUGGACAAGAGGGUGAAGAUAUAGUCUAUGCAUCUAGUGAUAGAUGAUAACAUGACGAGAGGACCGAGAGUGACGAAGCUCUAGUGUACCGACUGCACUACCAAGUGCAUCGCCGGGUAGCUACCUUCGGUUAGGAUAAACGCUGAAAGCAUCUAAGCGUGAAGCCGUCUUCAAGAUUAGGUUUCAUAGGUUAGUCAGAGAAUAUGACUUUGAUAGGCUCUAGGUGUAAGGCCCGUAAGGGUUUGAGCCGAGGAGUACUAAUAAACCAUUUGAUUUUCCCAC
rnacentral:rRNA from 1 species